GCAGCUAGAAAGGAAACUGGAAUCCUUGCUCCGAGGGGCCCGAAUCCGAAAGGUUAGUCAUAUGGAAGUGUGAUUUCUUUGAGAAAGCAUGCAUUAAGUCCUGAUUUAGAGAAAUUGUUGGCACAACUAGUACUGUAAGCAACUUCAAUACUUAUUCACUUUUUACUAGCAUUAUUUGAUAACCAUGCUUCUUCAUCCUGCUUCCUUGCUUUCUUCAUCCAUGAAGCAUUAGAUGAAUUCUGGUCUAAAUCCAGCAAAAAAAAACUUGACCUUCAUCUUAGACCUACAACUGUAAGAGGACGUGUACUCCUUCCUAACCUGCUACUCACACAUUAGUUGAGUUUCAGAUCCAAGCCAAAUCAAAAGAAGUAUUUUAACUAGAGUAAUCUGUCCAGGAGGGUACUCCAGAGUUACCUAUUCAGCUUUUCUCCAUCCAUCAUUAUAACCAAAAAGUCGCUGACUAUGUAACUUCCAGCUAUCAUGGUUAUCGACUCUCAUGUCUAGAUAUGUUCAAAUACGAGUUAAAACAGUAGUUGUUACAACGUCACAAUGGCCAUCUGCAGACCGAGCUAAUGAUUGAAGCUGU
rnacentral:lncRNA from 1 species